UUGGACAAUGGGAGCAAUCCUGAUCCAGCCAUGCCGCGUGCAGGAAGACAGUCCUAUGGAUUGUAAACUGCUUUUAUACAGGAAGAAAAAGUCCGACUUGUCGGAUAUUGACGGUACUGUACGAAUAAGAAUCGGCUAACUCCGUGCCAGCAGCCGCGGUAAUACGGAGGAUUCAAGCGUUAUCCGGAAUCAUUGGGUUUAAAGGGUUCGUAGGCGGGAUAAUAAGUCAGUGGUGAAAGUUUGUGGCUCAACCAUAAAAUUGCCAUUGAUACUGUUGUUCUUGAGUUAUUGUGAAGUGGUUAGAAUGUGUAGUGUAGCGGUGAAAUGCAUAGAUAUUACACAGAACACCAAUUGCGAAGGCAUAUCACUAACAAUAUACUGACGCUGAUGAACGAAAGCGUAGGUAGCCAACAGGAUUAGAUACCCUGGUAGUCUACGCUGUAAACGAUGGUUACUAGCUGUUCGUCACGCCUUAGGCGAGAUGAGUGGUAAGCGAAAGUGAUAAGUAA
rnacentral:rRNA from 1 species